AGAACGAACGCUGGCGGCAGGCCUAACACAUGCAAGUCGAACGCCGUAGCAAUACGGAGUGGCAGACGGGUGAGUAACGCGUGGGAACAUACCCCUCGGUUCGGAAUAACUCAGGGAAACUUGAGCUAAUACCGGAUACGUCCGAGGUUCUAAUCGACCUUGGAGAAAGAUUUAUCGCCGGAGGAUUGGCCCGCGUCUGAUUAGCUUGUUGGUGAGGUAAUGGCCCACCAAGGCGACGAUCAGUAGCUGGUCUGAGAGGAUGAUCAGCCACAUUGGGACUGAGACACGGCCCAAACUCCUACGGGAGGCAGCAGUGGGGAAUAUUGGACAAUGGGCGAAAGCCUGAUCCAGCCAUGCCGCGUGAGUGAUGAAGGCCUUAGGGUUGUAAGCUCUUUUACCCGGGAAGAUAAUGGACGGUACCGGGAGAAGUAACGCCCCGGCUAACUUCGUGCCAGCAGCCGC
rnacentral:rRNA from 1 species